rnacentral:rRNA from 1 species
CCCUUAGAUGUUCUGGGCCGCACGCGUGCUACACUGAUGCAUUCAACGAGUCUAAAACCUGGUCUGAUAGGGCUGGGUAAUCUUUUGAAAGUGCAUCGUGAUUGGGAUAGAUGACUGCAAUUCUUCAUCUUCAACGAGGAAUGCCUAGUAAACGCAAGUCAUCAGCUUGCAUUGAUUACGUCCCUGCCCUUUGUACACACCGCCCGUCGCUCCUACCGAUUGAAUGAUCCGAUGAAUACCAUGGAUUGAGAGUACGAAUAGGUUCGCUUAUUUCUGCUGCUCGAGAAGUGGAGUAAAUCUUAUCAUUUAGAGGAAGGAGAAGUCGUAACA